rnacentral:rRNA from 1 species
UAGCGGAGGAAAAGAAACCAACCGGGAUUGCCUUAGUAACGGCGAGUGAAGCGGCAAAAGCUCAAAUUUGAAAUCUGGUACCUUCGGUGCCCGAGUUGUAAUUUGGAGAGGGCAACUUUGGGGCCGUUCCUUGUCUAUGUUCCUUGGAACAGGACGUCAUAGAGGGUGAGAAUCCCGUGUGGCGAGGAGUGCGGUUCUUUGUAAAGUGCCUUCGAAGAGUCGAGUUGUUUGGGAAUGCAGCUCUAAGUGGGUGGUAAAUUCCAUCUAAAGCUAAAUAUUGGCGAGAGACCGAUAGCGAACAAGUACAGUGAUGGAAAGAUGAAAAGAACUUUGAAAAGAGAGUGAAAAAGUACGUGAAAUUGUUGAAAGGGAAGGGCAUUUGAUCAGACAUGGUGUUUUGUGCCCUCUGCUCCUUGUGGGUAGGGGAAUCUCGCAUUUCACUGGGCCAGCAUCAGUUUUGGUGGCAGGAUAAAUCCAUAGGAAUGUAGCUUGCCUCGGUAAGUAUUAUAGCCUGUGGGAAUACUGCCAGCUGGGACUGAGGACUGCGACGUAAGUCAAGGAU